UACUCCUACGGGAGGCAGCAGUAGGGAAUCUUCCACAAUGGACGCAAGUCUGAUGGAGCAACGCCGCGUGAGUGAAGAAGGCUUUCGGGUCGUAAAACUCUGUUGUUGGAGAAGAAUGGUCGGCAGAGUAACUGUUGUCGGCGUGACGGUAUCCAACCAGAAAGCCGCGGCUAACUACGUGCCAGCAGCCGCGGUAAUACGUAGGUGGCAAGCGUUAUCCGGAUUUAUUGGGCGUAAAGCGAGCGCAGGCGGUUUUUUAAGUCUGAUGUGAAAGCCCUCGGCUUAACCGAGGAAGUGCAUCGGAAACUGGGAAACUUGAGUGCAGAAGAGGACAGUGGAACUCCAUGUGUAGCGGUGAAAUGCGUAGAUAUAUGGAAGAACACCAGUGGCGAAGGCGGCUGUCUGGUCUGUAACUGACGCUGAGGCUCGAAAGCAUGGGUAGCGAACAGGAUUAGAUACCCUGGUAGUCCAUGCCGUAAACGAUGAAUGCUAGGUGUUGGAGGGUUUCCGCCCUUCAGUGCCGCAGCUAACGCAUUAAGCAUUCCGCCUGGGGAGUACGACCGCAAGGUUGAAACUCAAAUGAAUUGACGGA
rnacentral:rRNA from 1 species